AGGACGAACGCUGGCGGCGCGCUUAACACAUGCAAGUCGAGCGAGAACCAGGGCUUCGGCCCUGGGGAAAGCGGCGAACGGGUGAGUAACACGUGAGUAACCUGUCCUCGGCACCGGGAUAGCCCGGGGAAACCCGGAUUAAUACCGGAUGGCCUUUCGAGUCUUCGGACCCGUCAGAAAAGGUGCUUCGGCCUCCGGCCGAGGAGGGACUCGCGGCGGAUUAGCUUGUUGGUGGGGUAACGGCUCACCAAGGCGACGAUCCGUAGCUGGUCUGAGAGGACGAUCAGCCACACUGGGACUGAGACACGGCCCAGACUCCUACGGGAGGCAGCAGUGGGGAAUCUUGCGCAAUGGGCGAAAGCCUGACGCAGCGACGCCGCGUGCGGGAAGAAGGCCUUGGUUGUAAACCGCUUUCGAGGUAGGGACGAAGCCGACUACGGGUUAAUAGCCCGAAGGGGUGACCGGUACCGUCCAGGAAGUAACGCCCCGGACUAACUACGGUGACCAGC
rnacentral:rRNA from 1 species